AUUGAACGCUGGCGGCAGGCCUAACACAUGCAAGUCGAACGAGUGGCGGACGGGUGAGUAAUGUCUGGGAAACUGCCUGAUGGAGGGGGAUAACUACUGGAAACGGUAGCUAAUACCGCAUACCAUCGGAUGUGCCCAGAUGGGAUUAGCUAGUAGGUGGGUAAAAGGCUCACCUAGGCGACGAUCCCUAGCUGGUCUGAGAGGAUGACCAGCAACACUGGAACUGAUACACGGUCCAGAGUCCUACGGGGGGCAGCAGUGGUGAUUAAUGCACAAUGGGCGCAAGCCUGAUGCAGCCAUGCCGCGUGUAUGAAGAAGGCCUUCAGGUUGUAAAGUACUUUCAGCGGGGAGGCGUUACCCGCAGAAUAAGCACCGGCUAACUCCGUGCCAGCAGCCGCGGUAAUAC
rnacentral:rRNA from 1 species